ACCACUGGAAACGGUGGCUAAUACCGGAUGUGCCGAGAGGUAAAAGGCUUGCUGCCUGAAGAUGAGCUCGCGACUGAUUAGCUAGUUGGUAGUGUAAGGGACUACCAAGGCGACGAUCAGUAGCUGGUCUGAGAGGAUGAUCAGCCACACUGGGACUGAGACACGGCCCAGACUCCUACGGGAGGCAGCAGUGGGGAAUUUUCCGCAAUGGGCGAAAGCCUGACGGAGCAAUACCGCGUGAGGGAGGAAGGCUCUUGGGUUGUAAACCUCUUUUCUCAAGGAAUAAGUUUUGAAGGUACUUGAGGAAUAAGCAUCGGCUAACUCCGUGCCAGCAGCCGCGGUAAUACGGAGGAUGCAAGCGUUAUCCGGAAUGAUUGGGCGUAAAGAGUCCGUAGGUGGUUGUGAAAGUCUGCUGUUAAAGAGCAAGGCUCAACCUUGUAAAGGCAGUGGAAACUACACAGCUAGAGUGCGUUCGGGGCAGAAGGAAUUCCUGGUGUAGCGGUGAAAUGCGUAGAGAUCAGGAAGAACACCGGUGGCGAAAGCGUUCCUUGCUAGGCCGCAACUGACACUGAGGGACGAAAGCUAG
rnacentral:rRNA from 1 species